rnacentral:rRNA from 1 species
UACGGAGGGAGCUAGCGUUGUUCGGAAUUACUGGGCGUAAAGCGCACGUAGGCGGCUUUGUAAGUUAGAGGUGAAAGCCUGGGGCUCAACCCCAGAAUUGCCUUUAAGACUGCAUCGCUUGAAUCCAGGAGAGGUGAGUGGAAUUCCGAGUGUAGAGGUGAAAUUCGUAGAUAUCGGAAGAACACCAGUGGCGAAGGCGGCUCACUGGACUGGUAUUGACGCUGAGGUGCGAAAGCGUGGGGAGCAAACAGG